UGCAAACACAGUCUCAGGUUGAGGUCACAGCUCAGCUCAAUUCCCAUCUCCUCCCCAUCCUGACCCUGGUCAUUCCUGUGGCCUCAUCUCUUCCUGGGUCCCUAAACCCAAAAAACUCCUGACUCCACCUCUG